CGUGUAGGCGGGUCUUUAAGUCAGGGGUGAAAUGCCAAGGCUCAACCUUGGAACUGCCUUUGAUACUGGAGAUCUUGAGUCCGGGAGAGGUGAGUGGAACUGCGAGUGUAGAGGUGAAAUUCGUAGAUAUUCGCAAGAACACCAGUGGCGAAGGCGGCUCACUGGCCCGGAGCUGACGCUGAGACGCGAAAGCGUGGGAGCAAACAGGAUUAGAUACCCUGGUAGUCCACGCUGUAAACGAUGGAUGCUAGCCGUUGGGGAGCUUGCUCUUCAGUGGCGCAGCUAACGCUUUAAGCAUCCCGCCUGGGGAGUACGGUCGCAAGAUAAA
rnacentral:rRNA from 1 species